rnacentral:rRNA from 1 species
GCCCUACGGGAGGCAGCAGUGGGGAAUAUUGCACAAUGGGGGGAACCCUGAUGCAGCGACGCCGCGUGGGUGAGGAAGUACUUCGGUAUGUAAAGCCCUAUCAGCAGGGAAGAAAAUGACGGUACCUGACUAAGAAGCCCCGGCUAACUACGUGCCAGCAGCCGCGGUAAUACGGAGGAUGCGAGCGUUAUCCGGAUUUAUUGGGUUUAAAGGGUGCGCAGGCGGCGUGUCAAGUCAGCGGUAAAAUGUCGGGGCUCAACCCCGGCCGGCCGUUGAAACUGGCGUGCUCGAGUUGGAGAGAAGUA